AACGUAGGAGGCGAGCGUUAUCCGGAUUUACUGGGCGUAAAGCGCGUGUAGGCGGCACGGCAAGUUGGAUGUGAAAGCUCCCGGCUUAACUGGGAGAGGUCGUUCAAAACUGCCGAGCUAGAGUGCGGGAGAGGGAGGUGGAAUUCCGGGUGUAGUGGUGAAAUGCGUAGAUAUCCGGAGGAACACCAGUGGCGAAAGCGGCCUCCUGGUCCGCAACUGACGCUCAGACGCGAAAGCUAGGGUAGCAAAC
rnacentral:rRNA from 2 species